rnacentral:misc_RNA from 1 species
AGCUGGAUCAUUUUUCCGAAAUGAAUACCAAAAAUACCUUUCCCUUUCGUUUCGGGAACUGCCUCCCCUCCAACUUGUUGGGGGUGGGGUGCGGAACGCGAAACACACCAAAACAAAAAAAAAGCGCAGCGUCUUCUUUCGCCGAAGAUCCUGCCCUGCCUUUUUCAAAAUUCACGGCGUGCCUUUUGCCUUCGGGCCAAAGACGUUGUGGGGCAGAACCUAAAACGUGUCGCGAUGGAUGACUUGGCUUCCCAUAUCUGUGAAGAACGCAGCAAAGUGCGAUAAGUGGUAUGAAUUGCAGAAUCUCUCCAUUACUUAAUCUUUGAACGCAAAAGGCGCUCGGGAGAAGCCCCUCGUGGGUCAUCCCCGUGCAUGCCGUAUUGCUCAGUGUCGAAAAACAACAACGUACAAAAAGGGGAAGGCUUGCCUUUUCUCUUUUUCCGGUUUCUCGAAGUUGUGGCCGGAAAAGAAAAAGACGAAAGUUGCUUUCUUUUCUUGGAACGCAAUUCGGGGAUUGGGUGUUCCUUUUGUUGGAAACGACAAAAACAAAGCAUCCAAUCACACACACAAACGUAAAAACCGGUACAACCAAUGUUUUUGCUUUGGUGUUCAAUCACCGGCAAACAACACUACCAAAAAACAUUUACGGACCUGAGUGCGGCAGGACGACCCGCUAAACUUAAGCAUAUUGCUCAGCGGAGGAAAAGAAAACAACCGUGAUUCCCUUAGUGAGCGGCGAGCGAACAGGGAUCCAACUCGAUGCCGAAUCGGGCUUUACAGAGCCUUGAGUUGUGGCACGACUGCCCCGUGAUUGGUCAAGGGAGUGGCAAAAUUCAAUGUGCAAAGCAAACCCAUUGUUGAAUGCAACCCUUCAUGUGAGUAUUGAGCCAUAGGAGGUGAAAGCCCAUUCCAGCCACUGCAUACCCUAAGCCUCAUUGGGCGGUUUCAAGCGAGUAGCACUGCUUGGGAAUGCAGUGUCAAGCGGCAGGUAUGUGUCUGCCAAAGUUAAAUACAAAAUGGGAAGACCGAUAGCAAACAAGUAGCGUGAGCGAAAGUUUGAAAAGCACUUUGGAAAGAGAGUGACAUAGAACCUGAAGUCGUGACAAUGACAAUGAAAGUGCCUCCAUUUUUGUCAAGGCCAGCCCUGCAGCAUUAUCCGGUACUCCGCCUUCGGGCGCCAGUGCCGGCCAAACAAGUGUUGGAAGGGGACUGGAGCAACGAGCCGAGGUAAAGGGGGGAGUCUUGCCUAGCAAUGCACCUUUUCCUUCUCGGUAGACUCAGCGACUUGACGCUCUGGAAAUGGGGUACCUUCACCCGUCUUGAAACACGGACCAAGGAGUCAAACAGACACGCAAGGGGGAAGAUAUUGUUGCCAGUACUUCUCUCGAACUGAAAGGGAUGCUUUUUGCAUUGGUGUGCACACGAAAAUUCGUUGUUUUUGCCCAACACCGACCGCCCUUCUUUUAGGGUGAGUCUGAGUGUGCCUGUUUGGACCCGAAAGGUGGUGAACUAUGCCUGAACAAGGUGAAGUCCGGGGAAACUCGGAUGGAGGCCUGUAGCGGUGCUGACGUGCAAAUCGCUCGCAUGAUUUGGGUAUCGGAGCGAAAGACUCAUCGAACCACCUAGUAGCUGGUUCACAU